UCAAAGCUAAAGUCCCUUUUCUAGAUUUCUCGGGGACCAUAAGAAAAAGAAAAAUUCCCACCUUUUGUUUCCUUCAAGUAACCGUUUCUUCUUUCUUUCAAUGGGAGAGUUGUUUGUUUAUCGAUUUUUAAGUCCUUUCAGUCAAAGGGUUCUUCUUACAUUGCAAGAGAAGAAAAUUCCUCUUUCUAACAAAAACCCAAAUGGUAUGAUGUAUUCUAAAUGUUUGCGGUUUGAACUGAACUAAAACUGAAAUAAGGGUGUGUAAUGUACCAAUUGUUGAUUAUGUUUUUGGUGAUUAAUCCAAAUGGGUACCAGUAGUCAAAUUUUAUGGUAAAUAAAAUGGGUACCUGAUUCUGAUGUUAUUACUCAAAUUCUUUGAGAAGAAUUACCCAAAACCAUCUCUUGUUAUUCCGCCUCAAUACGCCUCACUGUAAUCUCUCUGAUGUUCAUUUAAUAGCUUAGUCUGUAUGUUUUGAUUAUGAAUUGUUGAUCAGCCCCAUUGUUACUUGAAAAUGGAAUUAUGAUUUUCGUGAUUCUCAUUGUAUGUAUCCUGCAUAUUCAGAACUAUUCAUUUGUCUUGAUCAGAAGAACUAUUCAUUUGUCAUGUAAGUCAUUUACAUGGACUAAAUUCUGGAAUCUGCCAUGAAGGAUUAAUGUAUGUUUGGUUGUUAUCUCAUUGUCAUGAACUUAUCAGAAACCUUCUUAGUCAGUUGUUGUGUCUUGGUUUAAGUUAGUGGAAGCAUCAAACUAAGCAGUUGUUUUCUAUAGCAAAUGCUGUUCACAUGUGCAUAUUGCCGAUGGAGAAUAUAAAAAUGCAAUUGAAAGUGGUAGUCGAAAUGAAUCACCUCAUUGUUCAGAAACUAUCCAUGCCAAACCUGAUGGUAAGUGAAUCACCUCAUUUUUCUUGUGGUCAAAGGAGUUCAGUAAAAAUAGUCAUUAUUCAGAAACUUGUUACCUGGAUCUGCAAGCUUUCUCAAAUGUUGGGAGAGUUCUAUUUAUCUUGUUAAUGUCCAUAAGCAUGAAAUUCACAAUGGGCAGCUGAGCUUUAGGGGAAACGUGUACUUGAGCACAAUUGCGGCUACGGACUAUCGGGGAUCUUAGCUUCCUUAAAGGGAGUUUCAGAGGUGCGUUUUCAGGAUCCGAAUGCGGAAACAGUAAGAUGUUCAACCAUACAUGAGUGUGCUUGCAAUCUCAUCCUUUAUUUUCUUGCAAAUCUAAUUACAGGCUACCAUAAUCUAAUUUCAAUGGGCUUGAUGUACACUGUAGUGAUUUAUUUUGUAUAUACUUGGGGGUUGAAUUUAUCAAUCAGGCACCAGUUUCUGUGAUAACUAACAUUAUUUAUGUUUCCAUUCCGUCAUUAACUACACCCAACCUAAUUGUUGCUACUUUUCCACCUCCGUGGGAAGGACAGUGAGCCAGUUACCUUGCAGGCUACAACCAGGAUUCAGACCAAUGAUUCUGUUGUUGAGUAGGAUUUUGACAUCUUGAGUUUGCACUUAAAGUGUGGUUAGUCGCACACUUAAUGCCUACUUCCACAGCUGCAUCAAUUUUCCAUUUGUUUUAUUCUGAUCCAGUUAGAUCUCAAGGUGCAUCUUUUCAGUCUGAUGAUAACAAUGGCAUUGAAAUAUAUUUAAGCUUUAUUCAGUACCCAACACUAGCUCAGUUGCAUUAACUCCGUAAACAGUCAUUACUACUAAUAGUCUAAAAUGGUUAUUGAUGUCUCAUUCUUUGUUUCUCACUAGCAUUUUUAAUUUCCCCAUACUUGGCAUCUUGAGAGAUCCUAGUGAAUAUUGCUCAGUUAAUGCUUUGCUCGUUUUUUGUCAACUGACAGCUCUCAUGUGAAAUAUCUUUUGUAGCUCUCCGAAGAGAUACAGAACAACAGCUUUUCACUAUUUUAGAACCUUAGGUCAUCAAUGGCUUGCAUAUAAAACCUCUGGUACAUCUGGUAAAGUAUCCUUAACUCACAGUGUCAUCAGCUGGACAUGCUUUGCUUGCUUUCAUACAUGGUCAGCUUCCAGGGGAAAAAGCUUUUGAAGCUGUCGGAGGAGAUACCCAAUAAUAGCCUUUCCCUGUUUUAAACCCAUAAGUCAUUUUGGCAUAUAUAGCCUCUGGUGCUUCUGGUCACUGUAGUAAUACUGUCAUUUCUUGAUGUUGUCAAAGAAUAAUAGGGUCUCUAGGGAUGAAGAUUCUGAUGUUGACUAUUUCCUAAGAAGUGAAGCAAGUCUGUGUUUGAUAAUCUCCCUGCUAGGAUUCAAUUGGCUUUACAUGAUCUAAAUCAAGUUCAAAUUGAGUUUGACAAUGACCCAUCUUAUUUUUCUAGAAAAAAUUCUAGUGUUUUAUGUUUUAACUGCUAUGACCAAGACAAUGCAGCUGGUAUACAGGUCAAUGUAACCUUUCCCAGCAACUCCAACCAUGAUAUGUAAAAAUGUACAAAACCAGUAGUAACUCUACCGUGUACAUUGUUUCUUCCUAUGCCGGUAAAAGAGAGAUGUCCAGUAGCGGAUCGGUAAUGAAGCAACUCCAACAAUGCUGAAUUCCCUCAUCUACAAACUCCCAUAGUACAGAUUAAGGACGACCGGAAUCAGUAAAAAAGAUUUUAAGCUUACACACCACUGGAUGGUAGUGUAGGGGAUUACAAACCAAAACCUCCAAGGAACAGGUCCAAGGAAAGACGGAUUUUUUUUCCUUUGACAUAAAAGCGGUGAAAGCCCAAUUCAUGAUAAAAGCGGUGAAAGCCCAAUUAUCAGCUUUAACAUAUUUUAUCUUCUUCUUCGGCUCAUCAAAAAGAAAUGGAAAACCACGGUGUAACCGGACCGGAGUACUGUUGGUACUAUCUCAAUUCUCAAAAUUCAUAAUCAUGCAGCAAUGGGAUGCAACAUGACCUUCUCAUCAGAAGAGGCAGAAGCUCUAGCUCUCCUCAAUACAACUCAAUGGGCAGUCACAAACAACAUACAACAAUUGUGAUUGAAUGAGACAACCAGGCAACAAUCAAGUAUCUUCAAGGCAGAGAAUCAACAGUCCAAUGGCAAUGUAUAACCAUCUUAGAUGAAGUUAAAUUAUUAGCUAAGAAUUUAGUCUCUUUUCUAGGUUUUCAGUAUGUAGAUAUGAGAGCUAACAAGGUGGCAGACUUGUUAGCAAAGAAGGGAAGAAGUUCUGAUAAUACAACUUCCUGGAAUGAAGAACCUCCUAGCCUUUUAAUUCCUUCAAUUGCUUUUGACACUGUCAAAGCAUAUGAAUCCUGUAACUUAAACAACAUUCUCCCUAUAACUGCUAUUACUGAUGUUAAUCUUAGAAAUUCAGCCAUUAGAAGAGUCAUUCCUCAUGAAAUGGUCUCUGAAGAGUCUGAAUACGCAGAUUAACG